rnacentral:sRNA from 1 species
UCCGUCCGGAGAAGAUGACGGGCAAGCGCUAGGAAGAGAAAGAGCCAAGAAAGGGCAAAGCCCCGUCAUGUGAACAUGACGGGGCUUUUUUUGUUAGU